CCACAACCACCUUCCUGCCCUGGGAAUUUGGAGCAGAAUUGCUGGAGUGGAGGUGCUUUGCUGCCCUUCUGUGCCUGAUGCCAGCAUGGAAAAUGGAGCUGACAUAAACUGGGGGUAUCCAAAUGAUUUAUUGUAUUUUAAAGGUGGUAGGAGCUGCAGCAGCCUUGAAACUUAAUUCGUUUGGAAUUCAUUUGGAAGUUCCUGAGCAACUUCAGAUGGAUCUGGGAAUUGCAGCAUGACCUGAGCUGGAUGGUUUGGAAGCUCUUGGGUACUUCCAAUUUUUUCCAUAAUCACUGGGAUAUGAAGAUGUUUAGCACUUGUGAAAACCUGGUUUAAGAGCUUUUCCCCGGCGUGGUGACUCCUGAGGUUCCCUGAAAAUUUCCAGGAGCAGGUGAGCCAGCAAAGGUCAAAUCAAUUGGGUAGAAAACAAACAGGCUGAUAAAUUCUUUGGAGGUGCCACUGCCCUUCAAAAAAUCACUUGUUUUACCCUGCAGGCAACAGAAA
rnacentral:lncRNA from 1 species